UCUCUCUCUCAUCCACCUCAUGCAUGACUACCAAUAAACUUGCCAGAUACGUGGCCCAUGGCACAAUUGAUCAGAAUUUUGAUCCAUUCCUCCACUAGACCUUAGAUCUCUAUCAAAUGCUCAUCCCUAAACAUAUUUCCUUGUCUAACAUAAGUAUCCUUUAUGGAAGGCAAACACGUCCGAGUUGGAAACAUCCACAACCUGAUAGGGUUAGCACUCCCAACAAGAGCUUUU
rnacentral:lncRNA from 1 species